UAAAACGGCUAUAGCAGUGCUAAAGCCCGCCCAUCAGAGCCAAUGACGUCAUUGGCAAUAUUGCUAGGUGGAAGCCUCCGCCUAGCAGAGUAAUACAUAUCAACAAACAGCCCUUGCACUGCACUAUCCUCCGGAGGAGGAGGG